rnacentral:rRNA from 1 species
GACGAACGCUGGCGGCGUGCUUAACACAUGCAAGUCGAGCGGUAAGGCCCUUCGGGGUACACGAGCGGCGAACGGGUGAGUAACACGUGGGUGACCUGCCUCUAGCUCUGGGAUAAGCCUGGGGAAACUGGGUCUAAUACCGGAUAUGACUCCACGGCGCAUGUUGUGGGGUGGAAAGCCUUGUGUGGCUAGAGAUGGGCCCGCGGCCUAUCAGCUUGUUGGUGGGGUGANGGCCUACCAAGGCGACGACGGGUAGCCGGCCUGAGAGGGCGACCGGCCACACUGGGACUGAGACACGGCCCAGACUCCUACGGGAGGCAGCAGUGGGGAAUCUUGCGCAAUGGGCGAAAGCCUGACGCAGCGACGCCGCGUGAGGGAUGACGGCCU